UACGUAGGGACUAAGCGUUGUUCGGAUUUACUGGGCGUAAAGGGCGCGUAGGCGGCUUAACAAGUCACUUGUGAAAUCUCCGGGCUUAACUCGGAACGGCCAAGUGAAACUGUCAAGCUAGAGUGCAGAAGGGGCAAUCGGAAUUCUUGGUGUAGCGGUGAAAUGCGUAGAUAUCAAGAGGAACACCUGAGGUGAAGACGGGUUGCUGGGCUGACACUGACGCUGAGGCGCGAAAGCCAGGGGAGCAAACGGG
rnacentral:rRNA from 1 species